UCCGACCCUCCAACUAUGAAACUAUGAAAAUUGAAACGAUACAGAGAAGAUUAGCAUAGCCCCUGUGCAAGGAUGACACAAAUGUGUGAAGUGUUCCAUAUUUUA